CGGAAAUCAAUACAAUGGCCAUGGUAGAAGAUCACGGCAAAACAGCCGUGUCUCGGGCUCUCGCCUGGAUAUCGUAAUGUCCGUGUAAACGGUCCUCCAGGAAGCCUCUUGGAAUAAUGAGACGAAACCCACAACAACAAUAGAUAUAAGCUGAAUUAUGAUGAAUCUGUCCGUCACCUGGGGCUGGGGAUAGACAUUACAUAACGCCUAUCUCCUGACUUUUGUUGAGGUGAAAUAGAUGAGCUUUGGCGGCCCGGAGAGAUGCUGAGUCUUUCUUCUUCACACCAAGUGUCAAAUCGCUGACGCUUACAGCCAAAUUACAAACACUCGGCAUUUUUGGCUUAUUAGUCAAAAUCUGAGUUCAAAAACCGACAGGUAGUCCGUCUCUAGUGGUAAGGUGAGAAUGAAUUUCUCUUACUCCGCCUUCCCUUUAACAAUGUUAAUGUUAUAAUAAAUGUGGAAAAAAAAC